GACGGAGGGUGCUAGCGUUGUUCGGAAUGACUGGGCGUAAAGGGCGCGUAGGCGGCUCGUGAAGUCGGGUGUGAAAGCCCGGGGCUCAACCCCGGAACGGCAUCCGAUACUGGCGGGCUUGAGACCGGGAGAGGAGGGUGGAAUACCCAGUGUAGAGGUGAAAUUCGUAGAUAUUGGGUGGAACACCGGUGGCGAAAGCGGCUCUCUGGCCCGGAUCUGACGCUGAGGCGCGAAAGCUAGGGUAGCAAACGGG
rnacentral:rRNA from 1 species